CUCGAGUAUCACUCCCAGCCUAAUUCAAAACUAUCCUAGACCAAGCGAAAAUGAGUUCUAUGAAUUUCGUUCUCUAAGUUGAAGCCUUACAAAUAAUGUGGGAUCUAAAGGUGAAAAUCACUUGAAUUUGGAAGUAUUACUUGCUGCUGGUGGAAAGACCAUUGAAAUGGUCUUUCGUAGAUGCAAAGGUGGUUUCAAAUAUAUGAGGAGCUUUGAAGGACGUUCUCAAAUUUUGUUUGAACCUGAACGUCCAGAGAUAAGCUUUAAAAAAGAAUGCCUUUUGAUGGGAUGCAUGAUAUUUCGAAUUUGAUUUAUGUUUUUAUUUUCUGAAUAAUUGAGCAUUUUCAGUGUAUCGUUGAUGUUAACCUUCUGCAAGUUUAUUGAUGUGUCUACCGUUACAUUAUCUUGGCAGGAAUAAACUAUAUUAAUGUGUUAUUUUUAGUUGAGUAUGAUUCAUGGUUAAAGAAGAAGCAAGAAUAAAGAAAUAACCUAACCAAUCGAUUAUUCCAUCAAUUUACAGCAGGACAUAUAAAUGCAGAAGACAAAUCCUGCAAUUGUUGAUAGAUAUGUGCUUGAAAGGCAUAUUCCUUGGUUCGUCAGUCCUUGGAUCCUCGGUGAUAAUGUACUGGUCGGCUUUUGAAGUCAUUGUAGCUUGAGAUUUUUAGAAAUUGUUCCCGGAGUUGGAGUGAAAAGGAUUUGAACCUUAGAAAACAGAGAUGGUAUAUGAAACUUCAUAUUAAAUUUGGAAGGGGAGGAUUUUGGGAAUGUUUUCAUCGUUUAGGUAGAAUUUUAGGUGAAGAAUUUGUUUUGGGCUGUUACUAACCUGGCCAAAUUGUUCUACAAUUUGUUUAUCAUCCCACGAAGCCCAUUCAAUGUUUGUGAAAGGCCUGCUCAUAUAUGUACUCAUUUACAUGUCUAUGGACCAUAAAAUAAAACAUGUAAUAGUUUAUAGUUUAUAACUUUAUAUGUAAAUUGCUUUUAAUAUGGUUAUAGUUUUAUGAUUAGUUAUUUUAACUCAUAAUUUUUUUUAUUAAAAUAUGUAAAGUUUAAUAUAGAAUCUUAUUUAAUCAUUUUGGAUUUAACUUUUUUUUAGUAGACUAAUUUAUUAGUUAUCAUGGUUUUUACUUAUUUGGUGAUAGCAUAUCCCAUAAGAUGAUUUUCUGUCUUCUUAUGUUAAACUCUUAUAUGCGUUAGCUUUUUUGAGUGGAGAAUCAAACACAUUUACGUAUUACUAUAACUAGGGGUAUAUCCUCCGCGUAAGCACGGAACUGGUAUGUUGUUGAUGCAUUGUGUAGUUUUGUAUGCGGAAUUUUGUCGUUUGUUAUUUUUCUUCUAAAUUUUGUUUUUUCUGUGUUGUCUACAAUGACAAAUAUGUGUUGUUGUAGCUUAAAAAUGUUAUGGGAAGUGGAGUCAAGU